GCUGGCGUAGCUCAGUGGUAGAGCGUCUGAUUUGUAAUCAGAUGGUCGGAGGUUCAAGUCCUCUCGCCAGCUCCA
rnacentral:tRNA from 2 species